CGGUAAUUCCAGCUCCAAUAGCGUAUAUUAAAGUUGUUGCGGUAAAAAAGCUCGUAGUUGGAUUUCUGUUGAAAACGACCGGUCCACUCAUUGAGUGUGUAUCUGGCGCGAUUUCGGCAUCCUCUCAGAAGACAGUUCUGCGCUUCGUUGCGUGGGCUGGAUUUUGGGACUUUUACUUUGAGGAAAUUAGAGUGUUCACGGCAGGCUAUCGCCAGAAUACAUUAGCAUGGAAUAAUAAUAUAGGAUCUUGGUUCUAUUUUGUUGGUUUCUAGAAUUGGGAUAAUGAUUAAUAGGGACAAUUGGGGGCAUUCGUACUGACGCGUUAGAGGUCAAAUUCUUGGAUCGCGUCAUGACGAACUACUGCGAAAGCAUUUGCCAAGGAUGUUUUCAUUGAUCAAGAACGAAAGUAAGGGGAUCGAAGACGAUCAGAUACCGUCGUAGUCCUUACCAUAAACUAUGCCAACUAGGGAUGAGAUCUCGUUCAUCUAAAGACUGAUUUCGCACCUUAUGAGAUAUCAAAGUUUUUCGGUUCCGGGGGGAGUAUGGUCGCAAGGCUGAAACUUAAAGGAAUUGACGGAAGGGCACCACCAGGAGUGGAGCCUGCGGCUUAAUUUGAUUCAACACGGGGAAACUCACCAGGUCCAGACAUAAUAAGGAUUGACAGAUUGAUAGCUCUUUCUUGAUUUUAUGGGUGGUGGUGCAUGGCCGUUCUUAGUUCGUGGAGUGAUUUGUCAGGUUAAUUCCGUUAACGAACGAGACCUUAACCUGCUAAAUAGAAGCGCGUUUCUCCGGAAAUGCGUCAUUCUUCUUAGAGGGACUCUAGUUGCGUUUAGCCUAGGGAAGUUUGAGGCUAAAACAGGUCUGUGAUGCCCUUAGAUGUUCUGGGCUGCACGCGCGCUACACUGAUGCGUUCAACGAGUGUACAACCUUGCCCUAGAGGGUUGGGUAACCUUUUGAACACGCAUCGUGAUGGGGAUUGACCAUUGUAAUUAUUGGUCAUCAACGAGGAAUUCCUAGUAAUGAUGGUUCAUCAGACCGUCGUGAUUACGUCCCUGCUCCUUGUACACACCGCCCC
rnacentral:rRNA from 1 species